CUUUCCAUGUGGAUGCAGAAUUGCUCUUACACCUUCCACACUGCCCGGAGACCUACGCCAGCAUUAGCAAAUAGAGUUUGCGAUACCCCACUGUCACUUCAGGCUUGGCAGGAAGGAAGAUCCUGCUGACAAGGAAAGCAGUGCCACUGCAGGGGGAAUGGCAAGAAUCCUGGGGCAGGAAUCCCUUCGGAGACUGACUUUUCGGCAUCAAGCCUCCUAUUGCACACGUGUGUGUGCAUGUGGCAGUGAAGGGGAUGAGAUGAGAGAGGGGAUGAGAACUGCCCUUCAAUUUCUCAACAGUUUCUUAACUUAAAUCCUUCCUUCUGAGCAUAAGACCUAGAUCAGGCUCAAGGAAAGAAAAACUUAAUUAAUCAGAAGUAGCUAAGUUCAAAGUGCGCCUGGGGUCAGCGUUACUACUCCUUUGCUUUGGAGUUUGGGGGUUGUGGAUAAUUCCCAUCUGCUGCACAACGACAAGUAGGUGAUGCCUGGUAUUUUCUGGCAGUAGCUACAUUUGAAGGUCUCCUUUCUUUCCACUCAUCUCUUUUAAGCUUAAUAUUGUCACUGAAAUAUACCUGAGCUCCAUGUCUAUAGUACAAGGGUCUAAAAUACCACGCGCAGUCCUGUGACACCAAGCACCAGCUCCGGGCAGUACCACGCAGGCUCCCCUAACUAUGGCCUUUGAGCACGUGGUUACAUGGAUCCCAGCAAAACGGAGAAUUGCUGGAGCUGAGCAGGGGCCGUGUGGGCCCUGGCUGGGGGAAGCAGGCCAAGGAAGCACGCUGGGAGCUGCUUGGUCAGUAUCUCCACGUUGCAGCCAAAGGCGUUUCUUGUUGCUUUGGUAUAACCUUCUGAGGACACGGAUGAGCUGGAGCUGAAGAUGACAGCUCAGCAGUUCUUCCCUUCUUCCUGCCUCUGUAACCUUUUCUCACAGAUCAGGAAUAUGGAAAUGUAGGGCCAGAUCCCACUUCAAUGACAGAACUGUUGCUGGGAAUUUCGGCGAAUGCACAUCAAGAGCAUGCUACCUCCAAAGAUGUGUCCUACCAGUCAGACUCGGAUGGGACCUGCCACCCUGCUUUGGUACCACGACAAAAACUGUACGUUAACUUCUGAGAAUCACAGAUUCCUGGCACAAGCACAAGCCACACCAUUUUCUCAUCUUCCAAGCACAGAAUUUCUGAGAAGCACAAUGCCAAGGCACGUCAGCAGGCUAUUACUGACCUCGCUAAACUUUAACACUAUUUACCCGAAGCGAAGUAAUCCUAAGAAUGAUGCAAAAUCCUUUUCUUCACUCUGAAGCCAUUAAAGAAAUUCUAACAGAAGGCCCCAAUGCCUCGUGGAUAAUCCUGACUACAAAGGUUAGAAAUACAAUGCUGAGGGCGUGAAUCCCUAUUUCUUGCCUGCUUCACUUCAUUUCCUUACGUCUCAGUUCCUUCAUCACUGAAUAUUAUCCACCUUGCUAAGUACCAUGAGGUGACAUCAAUGCACACACGUGCCCACACACACGGGCUGCUGACGUUGUCCCGCGGAGGAUGCCCCACCAGAGGACCUGCUGUUACUUAACAGCAGUCAUGCCACUAGCAAGAAAGACAAGCCUCAUCCACCAAUCCACUGCUCAGUCCGGGGAAGUGAAUCACCUUACAAACACUUUAUUUUCUGCGUGGACAGAAUCACUCAGACGUGUAACCAAUACCAGCAGCAAGCCCUUAUGCGGCAAGGUGGCCACAGGGGCUGUGUGGAGAAGGCCUGCACGGAGGGGUUCUGUGCCCAGGGCUCGGGGAAGGAGCGCUCUCCCACAGCACAGGCAGCAGACAAACCUGUGUCUGCUCCACAAACCCAGCUGCCCCGCUGCUACUUCUCACCUCUUCAGUCCUGGGGGUGUUUGGCUAUGGACCGUCCCCCCAGCCUGCACAGCCCUGUGUGACCAACCUGAGUCCUGGCUCCGAGACGGGAGCAGGGGACACGGCGUGUGGGGGUCGUACCCGGCCUGCAGAGUGAGUAUGUGAGGAAGAUGAGAGCUGUUCAAGCUGCAGAGCAGCACUGGUAAAACAAGUGGCUAAAACUGGCUGUGAGGAGAUUCAGACUGACAAUUAGAAGAGGGCUUUUAACCACGAGAGAAGUGAGAUUUGAGAUUAGCCUGCCAGAGGGAGGGAGAAUGGGGAAGAAAACCUCAGUGAUGUUAACAGGGAGGAAAUAUGUUUAUGAAGGAUAUUCUAAAACGUGGUUGUCAGGAAUGGAUCAGGUCUGGACCUGCUGAACGACGAGGUCCCUUCUGGUCAUGUGCAAUAUGGCCUGGCUGGUCUAAUAUUUCCUAGCAGAACCUCUCUGGCAUGUCCAGAGACAGCACAGCCAGUCUUGGAUAUCCUUCCCAGAGGUCUGGGGAAGGACAAGUUGAGGCAGAGGAAUCCGGCGUAGCGGCUGCUCCCAGCUACCCUGGCAGCCCUUGCCCGAGCUGUGCAAACCAGGACGAGCCAGGAGGCUCGGAGGCAGGAUGCAGUCGGGCAGCAGCGUACGCAUCAGACAGCAACAGCCACGUUCCUGCCAGCCCCACAGCCUCCCCUGCCCGCUGCCUGGCCUCGCGGUGCACAACUGCACGGCAGGAGCUGCCUGGGCCUGGCCGGACGCUGACCCGUGCCAGGGGCUCCCCAGGUCCCUGAGAUGUGAGCUGGGCCAGAGCCCGCUCACCUGCAUCAUCCAGGGAAACGUGUGCCGGCCCUGGGACGGGGAGCUCUGCCCCGUGCCUAAAUAGUAAAGCCAGCAUUUAGUUCCUUCAUCUCCACACGAAGUAUCUCAUUUCAAUUUAAUUUCACAGUUGUAAUGGAUUUUUCAAAAAUAUUCAAGAACAUAUUUACUUUCCAACAUCUUAUUUCCUUUCAUAUUUGAAAAAACUUUCUAUCUAAUCCCCCAAGUCAUCCUACAGUCUGAAUAAUUUCAGGUUUUUAAUCAAUAGCUGUCAGACUUGUCAAAUUACUUUAGGGACCACAAAGCAAUUUUUAAACAUUCAUAAACCCUCGUAGAACAGUUAAGUGCACUGAAUUUUAAAAGAAAGAGGAACUGAAUAACACUGAUCAAAUAGGAUUAUAUUCUGGCAAAUUAUAAAUUAGUUUUUUAUGAAUCAUCUCACAGCUACUUAUCUAGCGUCGGGCUUCUGCUGCUGUAGGAAAGCGAAGUUACUGUUCACCUCUAGAGAAAGAAGCCUUCUUUUCUUUUGCUUCUGAGCCUACUAAGAAGGAGCAAGGUGCAAGGCAUUUUUUCUGUUGUCCUUCCUAAAAGCAACUUCAUUAUCCCGCUAGCCGCCUUGGGGCUCUUUCUGUCAGCCUGCUGCCUAAACCAGAGACAGCCGAGCUGCGGCUCCAGAGCCGUAUGAAUGCACCUUGGCUCCUGGCAUCCUUCCCAUCCCAGUACUGCUUCCCGGUCUGCUCCAGCCAUGUGAAUCUGUCUGGCGUGUCACUCUAGAAAUGAUGGUCACAAAAGUUCUCAACUUAUUGGACAAAGACCACCUGGACUCACAACGCAGCUUGAAGCCUUUAUAGGGAAGAUUUUCCACGUUGCACUGAGUCAAGCUACCAGAUGAACGCAGGAGCCUGCGCUGUGCUUGUUCUAGGAACAAAGAGAGAUCAAGAACGUCUGAAGAAGUCAAACAUGUUUAUCCAGCACCGACUUUACACACAACAGUCCCACCUCAUCAUCACAGCGUCUUUCCUAAAUUUGAGGGAUGUGGCUUGCACAAGGGAUAAAAAGGGAGCUUCGUAGCUACACCAAGAAUGUUGGAAGUCUUCCAGGAAAAAGCACGGCUCAGAUCAAAGCGGGGAUGAAGGAUGUUCAGAAGGAAGGAACGUUUCAGCCGGCCACAUGCAGCCUAACAAGCCCAAACCGUCUGUCCUCCUCCUCCCAGCUGAACUUCCUCUUCCACUGUCAGAGCUGCCCCAAACGCACCCGCACCUUUACUGUUCCCGAGUGCCUCCCUGGGCAGCAGGCCCCCUCGCGUGUUACUCAGGAGAGCUGAGCACCAGCACCGAGCCUUGCCGGCCAGCUGGCCACAUCACAGAGAAGGGAGUUUAACCCCGGCUGCAGCACUGGCUGCACCGUGAGACCAGGGCAAUUGCCAUUCCUUGGCUACUGAAAGCAGGAGGGGAGAGGACUGCGAAGCAAAAGGCACCGCGUUUCCCAAGGAAUAGCCACCGAGAGGAGGCCUUGCUGCUCAGGACUUUGGCUUCUGCCCUCUCACUCGGUGCAGCACUGCCGGCAGCAGGAGAGGCCCGUCUCACGCAGGCACGUCUCUGGCUGCUGGCAGCCCACAGUUGCCACUCGCUUGCCCAGGCUCAGGCGCCCCAGAGCAGGAGACGCAGCAGGCACGGACUCUGAUACCCCGCUGACCUCGUCUGACGAUGGCUCCAUGUCCAAACCACCGCGCUGGGAGCCGAACCUGUCCAGGCUUUGGGAAACCUUGUUCUUAGCGCCCAGGUGGCGCACAUCUGCCCGGGCGGCUUCCUCCGCCUUCAGCUGAGUCUGGAAAUAAUUAACAAGGCCAGCCUGGGGCAGGAGGCGGGAAAGGAAAGGAGAGCGUCCGACCUGGUGGCCUGGCCAAGUCAGAAGGAAGCGAGGGAUUCUCAGACUGAUUCAGACUCAGUUGCUUUUUUUGUACUUCAAAUUGAAGAAGCAAAAACAUUUCUCCAUGAGAACAUUUCAGCAAGUUCAGAGCUUUUUAGGGCUUGGUCUGCUUUUCUUUGUGAGGUGCUCGGUGGGUUCGCCGAGCCAGCCCUCACAGACAGCGGAAGUCUAGUAUUCUCUUUUAGCUUUCUCAGUAUUUAGUUUAUUGCUAACUGUUUGCCCAGUGAACCAGAAAACCAAAUAUAUUCAGGCACGCUGUGCUAACACACAGACGCUCAUACUAACGUAUAUGCAAUGACACGCGCUGGAUGCUCUCGGCCAGAACAACGGAGCUGCAAGAUCUGAAUGAAGUGAAGAACGCGAGAGGACAGCGAUCAGAUCGGUCCGGUGGAAAUGCUGGAGCUAACUUUUCCUGCUAACUGAAAUGAUUAAUCCCCUGAAUUACACCUGAUAAGGAUUCAAGUGUUUCAUUACUCUGCAUUAGUAAUAAUAAUAAAAUUGGUGCUUUUUGUCAUGAGAUGCUCUGCCCAGGGAAUUGUGGAAGAACAUUUAAUUACAGGGCUGUUUCAUUAAAUGUAAAAAUUAAACUAAA